CUGCUUGCUACCUUGCUGCCUCCUGCCUCCCUUGUUAUGGACUGUUUCUCUUCUGCAGUGCCUCUCUGCCAUGCCACCCUACCUUGGGACCAGCCAACUAUGGAGUGAAACCUCUAUAAACUGUGAGCUGAAAUAAACCUUUCUUCCUUUAACUUUGAGUGUUGGGUAUUUUGGCUCUGCAAUGAGAAAGUUAUUUGUGCUCAUCUUUCUAGUGCAUGGGUAUAGGCCAAAGCAGGUAAAAAUCAGAGAUUAGCCAGAGACCUGGUGGACAGCAGGUUUCAGGCAAAUAUGAUGUUAUGCUCCAUAGGUCUGAAAUUCAGGUGCUACUGUUGAUCCAGGCAGCUGAGCUUGAAUUCAGGGAACUUGAACAAGGCAGAAAGGAUCAAAUGGGGACCUGAGGUGAGGUAGGUGCAAGCUAGAGAGCCAACAAUAGACGGGGGACACUGCCCAUGAGUUUAAGUAAAGCAGAGGUAUGCUUUGUUCUGACAUCUUGGACCUUCUCUGUUCCCUGUGAUGGGCAAGAAUCCACCGGUGUGUAUUUGCUGCUGGAAGACAAACCAAGUCUCUGAACAUACAACUUAUCCUUAUAAGGAUGGACAGUGGGCUAGAGCUUCUCAAAGGUUACACAGUGUGAGUUACUGACAUUACUAACAAAAGAUUUCAUUCUGUUGUAACAAAUGGAUGCAGAGAUUUGCUGCUGUACUCCCCAGGGCUGUCCUUGGUCCUCCCCACCCAGGAAGACCCUCUCUUCUUCAUGACAAUCAUUCUCUUGGCUGCCCAAAUUGGAUAUUAUCUUCCUCAGCAUUAUGGCAUCAGUAUGGAGAGACCAAGAGUCAUGCAGCAGCCUGUCCAUGCCUCCUUCCUCUGAGUCCCUGUUAUGGUUUGAUCCAGAUGUCCCCACCAGAGCCUCAUGUGGUCAUAGCACACAGGUGA
rnacentral:lncRNA from 1 species